CCUACGGGGUGCAGCAGUGGGGAAUAUUGGGCAAUGGAGGCAACUCUGACCCAGCAACGCCGCGUGAAUGAUGAAGGUCUUCGGAUUGUAAAGUUCUGUGAUGGGGGAUGAACACAAUGACGGUACCCCAAUAGCAAGCCACGGCUAACUACGUGCCAGCAGCCGCGGUAAUACGUAGGUGGCAAGCGUUAUCCGGAAUGCCUGCGCGCAAAGGGUGCGUAGGUGGUUUAGUCAGUUGGCGGGGUAAUUCCGGGGCUCAACCUCGGCGCUACCGCCAAAACAAUUAGACGAGAGGGCAGGGGGGGUGAUUGGAAAUCCAAGUGUAGCGGUGGAAUGCGGAGAUAUUAGGAGGAACAUCAGGGGCGAAGGCGACUUACUGGACUGUAACUGACACUGAGGCACGAAAGCGUGGGGAGCAAACAGGAUUAGAUACCCCAGUAGUC
rnacentral:rRNA from 1 species